rnacentral:rRNA from 1 species
GACGAACGCUGGCGGCGUGCUUAACACAUGCAAGUCGAGCGAGAAAGCUCCUUCGGGAGUGAGUACAGCGGCGAACGGGUGAGUAACACGUGGGCAACCUGCCCAAGGGAGCGGGACAACCCGGGGAAACCCGGGCUAAUACCGCAUAACGCGUCAUGCUCUAAGGCGUGACGCCAAAAGGUAGCUUCGGCCUCCGCCCUUGGAUGGGCCCCGCGGCGCAUUAGCUUGUUGGCGGGGUAACGCCCACCAAGCGACGAUGCGUAGCUGGUCUGAGAGGACGAUCAGCCACACUGGGACUGAGACACGGCCCAGACUCCUACGGGAGGCAGCAGUGGGGAAUCUUGCGCAAUGGGCGGAAGCCUGACGCAGCAACGCCGCGUGAGGGAAGAAGGCUUU